GCCAGCGAAGAAAACGGCCCUGGGGAGCAGACAAUGAGCCACCGCCCCAGGAGCUGCGGCUCCCAGCACGCAGGUGGCGGCUCCCCGGCCCCGCGCGGGGCAGGUCGGCCGUCCCGGGCCGCUCCCGCCCGCCAGGCCACGGAGAAGGAAGGAGGAGGAAGAGACCCGGCCUGCGUCCCGCGCCGGCCGGCCUGUGUGCACUUACCCCGGGCAAGGUCUCUGCCGACGGAAGACGCUGACAGACGAUUGCUGUUAUACACAUCUGCUCCGCGACAUUUGUUUCUGGGAAUUCAUCCG
rnacentral:lncRNA from 1 species